rnacentral:rRNA from 1 species
CGCACGGGUGCGUAACGCGUGGGAAUCUGCCCUUGGGUUCGGAAUAACAGUUAGAAAUGACUGCUAAUACCGGAUGAUGUCUUCGGACCAAAGAUUUAUCGCCCAAGGAUGAGCCCGCGUAAGAUUAGCUAGUUGGUGGGGUAAUGGCCUACCAAGGCGACGAUCUUUAGCUGGUCUGAGAGGAUGAUCAGCCACACUGGGACUGAGACACGGCCCAG